AAUGAACGCUGGCGGCGUGCUUAACACAUGCAAGUCGAACGAGAAAGGGGGAUUCGUCUCCCGAGUAAAGUGGCGCACGGGUGAGUAACGCGUAGGUAACCUGCCCAUGUGUUGGGGAUAACAGAUCGAAAGGUCUGCUAAUACCGGAUGCGAUCGGGGAUCGAGAGAUUCUUGAUGAAAGUCUGCCACUCGAAGAAGCAGACGCACAUGGAGGGGCCUGCGUCCUAUCAGCUAGUUGGUAGGGUAACGGCCUACCAAGGCAACGACGGGUAGCUGGUCUGCGAGGAUGAUCCGCCACACUGGCACUGGAACACGGGCCAGACUCCUACGGGAGGCAGCAGUGAGGAAUUUUGCGCAAUGGCCGCAAGGCUGACGCAGCAACGCCGCGUGGGUGAUGAAGGCCUUCGGGUCGUAAAGCCCUGUCAGGUGGGAAGAACAGCAUUUUCUCGAACAGGGGAGAUGUUUGACGGUACCACCAGAGGAAGCACCGGCUAACUCCGUGCCAGCCGCCGCCGUAAAAC
rnacentral:rRNA from 1 species